rnacentral:rRNA from 1 species
AGCGAACGCUGGCGGCAGGCCUAACACAUGCAAGUCGAACGAGACCUUCGGGCUUAGCGGCGGACGGGUGAGUAACGCGUGGGAACGUGCCCUUUGGUACGGAAUAGCCCCGGGAAACUGGGAGUAAUACCGUAUGUGGUCGAGAGACGAAAGAUUUAUCGCCAAAGGAUCGGCCCGCGUUGGAUUAGGUAGUUGGUGGGGUAAUGGCCUACCAAGCCGACGAUCCAUAGCUGGUUUGAGAGGAUGAUCAGCCACACUGGGACUGAGACACGGCCCAGACUCCUACGGGAGGCAGCAGUGGGGAAUCUUAGACAAUGGGGGAAACCCUGAUCUAGCCAUGCCGCGUGAUCGAUGAAGGCCUUAGGGUUGUAAAGAUCUUUCAGUGGGGAAGAUAAUGACUGUACCCACAGAAGAAGCCCCGGCUAACUCCGUGCCAGCCGCCGCCGUAAUAC